rnacentral:rRNA from 1 species
GUUACCACCAUGGUAGGCCACUAUCCUACCAUCGAAAGUUGAUAGGGCAGAAUUUGAAUGAUGGUCGCCACACUAAGGCCAUGCGAUCCAGAGUGCUUGAAAUUGUCGGGAGGGAAUCAGAUGGGGGCCAGCGAUUCGUCCCGGUCCGAUGCAGAACGGAGCAAUCCGGCCCGCCGAUCGAUUCGGGGCGUGGAUCAACGCGGUAUAAAGUGGUGACCUAAGCAUGGGCUUUUGUUACGCUCGCGGAGACAUCGCUGCCUUAAUCGUGGUCUGCAGCACGCGCCUCACAGCGUGCCUUGGCAUCUGCGUGCUCAGGACGUCGGCCUGUGGGCUCCCCAUUUGACCCAUCUUAAAACAUGGACCAAGGAGUCUGCCAUGUGUGUGAGUCAACGGGUGAGUAAACCCGUAAGGCGCAAGGAAGCUGAUUGGCUGGAUGCCUCACGGGUGCACAGCCGACCGACCUUGAUCUUCUGAGAAGGGUUCGAGUGUGAGCAUGCCUGUCGGGACCCGAAAGAUGGUGAACUAUGCCUGAGCGGGGCGAAGCCAGAGGAAACUCUGGUGGAGGCUCGCCGUGAUACUGACGUGCAAAUCGUUUGUCUGACUUGGGUAAAGGGGCGAAAGACUAAUCGAACCAUCUAGUAGCUGGUUCCCUCCGAAGUUUCCCUCAAGAUAGCUUGAGCUCGAAAACGAGUUCUAUCGGGUAAAGCCAAUGAUUAGAGGCAUCGGGGAGGCAAUGUCCUCGACCUAUUCUCUAACUUUAAAUAGGUAGGACGGGGUGGCUGCUUUGUUGAGCCAUCCCACGGAAUCGAGAGCUACAAGUGGGCCAUUUUUGGUAAGCAGAGUUAGCGAUGUGGGAUGAACCGGAAGCCGGGUUACGGUGCCCAACUGCGCGCUAACCUAGAACCCACAAAAGGUGUUGGUCGGUUAAGGCAGCAGGACGGUAGUCAUGGAAGUUGAAAUCCGCUAAGGGGUGUGUAAAAACUCACCUUCUGAAUCCACUAGCCCCAAAAAUGGAUGGCGCUGAAGCGUGCGACCUAUACCCGGCCGUCGGGGCAAGAGCCAGGCCUCGAUGAGUAGGAGGGCGCGGCAGUCGCUGCAAAACCUAGGGCGCGAGCCCGGGCGGAGCGGCCGUCGGUGCAGAUCUUGGUGGUAGUAGCAAAUAUUCAAAUGAUAACUUUGAAGGCCGAAGAGGGGAAGGGUUCCAUGUGAACGGCACUUGCACAUGGGUUAGUCGAUCCUAAGAGUCGGGGGAAACCCGUCUGAUAGCGCUUAUGCGCGAACUUCGAAAGGGGAUCCGGUUAAAUUUCCAGAACCGGUACGUGGUGGUUGACGACAACGUUAGGGAGUCCGGAGACAUCGGCGGGAAUUCGGGAAAGAGUUAUCUUUUCUGUUUAACAGCAUGCACACCCUGGAAACGGCUCAGCCGGAGGUAGGGUCCAGCGGCUGGAAGAGCACCGCACGUCGCGUGGUGUUCGGUGCAUUCCCGGCGGCCCUUGAAAAUCCGGAGGACCGAGUGCCGCUCACGCCCGGUCGUACUCAUAACCGCAUCAGGUCUCCAAGGGGAACAACCUCUGGUCGAUGGAACAAUAUAGGCAAGGGAAGUUGGCAAAAUGGAUCCGUAACUUUGGGAAAAGGAUUGGCUCUGAGGGCUGGGCUCGGGGGUCCCAGUUCCGAACCCGUCGACUGUUGGCGGGCUGCUUGAGCUGCUAACGUGGCGAGACCGGACCGCCUCAUAUCGGCCAGGGGACGGACUGGGAACGGCUCUUUCAGGAUCUUUCCCCGGGCGUCGAACAGCCAACUCAGAACUGGUACGGACAAGGGGAAUCCUACUGUUUAAUUAAAACAAGGCAUUGCGAUGGUCCAUGCGGAUGCUAACGCAAUGUGAUUUAUGUCCAGUGCUCUGAAUGUCAAAGUGAAGAUAUUCAACCAAGCGCGGGUAAACGUCGGGAGUAACUAUGACUCUCUUAAGGUAGCCAAAUGCCUCGUCAUCUAAUAAGUGACGAGCAUGAAUAGAUUAACGAGAUUGCCACUGUCGCUGUCUACUAUCCAGCGAAACCACAGCCAAGGGAACGGGCUUGGCAGAAUCUGCGGGGAAAGAAGACCCUGUUGAGCUUGACUCUAGUCCGACUUUGUGAAAUGACUUGAGAGGUGUAGAAUAAGUGGGAGCUCCGGCGCAAGUGAAAUACCACUACUUUUAACGUUAUUUUACUUACUCCGUGAAUCGGAGGCGGGGUAACAACCCCUUCUUUUAGAACCAAGACUCACUUCGGCGGGUUGAUCAAUUACUGUGAGACAUCCUUUGUCACGGUGGAUUGGCUGGCGCAAAAUCAUCAAUAUGUUAAAAGAUAACGCAGUGUAACCUAAGAUGAGCUCAACGAGAACAAAAUCUCUGUGGAACAAAAGGGUAAAAGCUCGUUUGAUUCUGAUUUUCAGUACGAAUACGAACCGUGAAAGCGUGGCCUUGGAUCCUUUGAGACCUUUCGGAAUUUGAAGCUAGAGGUGUCAGAAAAGUUACCACAGGGAUAACUGGCUUGUGGCAGCUAAGCGUUCAUAGCGACGUUGCUUUUUGAUCCUUUGAUGUCGGCUCUUCCUAUCAUUGUGAAGCAGAAUUCACCAAGUGUUGGAUUGUUCACCCACCAAUAGGGAACGUGAGCUGGGUUUAGACUGUCGGGAACAGGUUAGUUUUACCCUACUGAUGUCCCGCGUCGCAAUAAUGUAAUUCAACCUACGUACAGAUAGGAACCGUUGAUUCGCACAAUUGGUCAGUCGCGCUUGGUUGAAAAGCCAGUGGCGCGAAGAUACCAUGCGCUGGAUUAUGACUGAACGCCUCUAAGUUAGAAUCCUGGCUAGAAGCAACGCAUGCGCCCUGCCGACCCGAUUGCCGACCCUCAGUAGGAGCUUGGCCCCCAAAGGCACGUGUCGUUGGCUAAGUCCGUUCGGGGAAGCCCGUUCGGACCGCCUUGAAUUAUAAUUACCACCGAGCAGGGUAGAACCUUUGCAGACGACUUAAAUACGCGAGGGGUAUUGUAAGUGGCAGAGUGGCCUUGCUGCACGAUCCACUGAGAUUCAGCCCUUUGUCACUAAGAUUCGACCCUCCCCU